rnacentral:rRNA from 1 species
AGCGGAGGAAAAGAAACCAACAGGGAUUACCUCAGUAACGGCGAGUGAAGCGGUAACAGCUCAAAUUUGAAAUCUGGCUCUUUCAGGGUCCGAGUUGUAAUUUGUAGAAGAUGCUUCGGGUGUGGCUCCGGUCUAAGUUCCUUGGAACAGGACGUCAUAGAGGGUGAGAAUCCCGUAUGUGACUGGUUGCCUUCGCCCAUGUGAAGCUCUUUCGACGAGUCGAGUUGUUUGGGAAUGCAGCUCUAAAUGGGUGGUAAAUUUCAUCUAAAGCUAAAUAUUGGCCAGAGACCGAUAGCGCACAAGUAGAGUGAUCGAAAGAUGAAAAGCACUUUGGAAAGAGAGUUAAACAGUACGUGAAAUUGUUGAAAGGGAAGCGCUUGCAACCAGACUUGCACCCCGUCGAUCAUCCCCCGUUCUCGGAGGUGCACUCGGCGGGGUUCAGGCCAGCAUCGGUUUCGGUGGUGGGAUAAAGGCCUUGGGAACGUAGCUCCUCUCGGGGAGUGUUAUAGCCCUCGGUGCAAUGCCGCCUACCGGGACCGAGGACCGCGCUUCGGCUAGGAUGCUGGCGUAAUGGUUGUAAGCGACCCGUCUU